UUGGAGGGCAAGUCUGGUGCCAGCAGCCGCGGUAAUUCCAGCUCCAAUAGCGUAUAUUAAAGUUGUUGCAGUUAAAAAGCUCGUAGUUGAAUUUCGGGGUUAGUAGGCUGGUCAUGCCACAGGUAUGCACUGGUCUUACUGAUUCCUCCUUCCUGAUGAACCGUAAUGCCAUUAAUUUGGUGUUGCGGGGAGUCUGGACUGUUACUUUGAAAAAAUUAGAGUGUUUAAAGCAGGCUAACGCUUGAAUACAUUAGCAUGGAAUAACGAAAUAGGACGUUCGAUCUUAUUUUGUUGGUUUCUAGGAUUGACGUAAUGAUUAAUAGGGAUAGUUGGGGGCAUUAGUAUUCAAUUGUCAGAGGUGAAAUUCUUGGAUUUAUUGAAGACUAACUACUGCGAAAGCAUUUGCCAAGGAUGUUUUCAUUAAUCAAGAACGAAAGUUAGGGGAUCGAAGACGAUCAGAUACCGUCGUAGUCUUAACCAUAAACUAUGCCGACUAGGGAUCGGAUGAUGUUAAUUUUAUAAUGACUCAUUCGGCGCCUUACGGGAAAC
rnacentral:rRNA from 7 species